GGGAAAGUUGCAAAGCACUUUGAAGAGAGAGUUAAAGAGGACGUGAAACCGGUAAGGUGGAAACGGAUAGAGUCGGCGUAUCAUUCAAKUAUUCAGUUACAUUAUUUUUAUGUUGUGACCUCUGAGCUCCAGAUUGGGACAGAGGGAAUCAGCAUAAUUUUUUGUGGUGCAUUUACUUGAUUGGUGCUUGGGGAUGUUUGAGGCAGAUUUGUUUCCGUCGUUUUGAGGCCAGCUUGCUGGUACCCAAACGGUGUUAGCAUUUUUUGUCUUGGGCAUUUGAGUAUGGCUCACGUGYAUUUAUUGGACAGAUCUGAGUGUAAGUUACGGUCGCAUGCGACACGUGCUUUUCAAUUAGUUCGGUCCAGUUAAUGCUCUCGUACUCGUUCCCCAUGUAAAAGCCGGUCAUCUAUCCGACCCGUCUUGAAACACGGACCAAGGAGUUUAUCGUGUGCGCAAGUUUUUGGGUGUUAAAAACUUAAAAGCGAAAUGAAAGUAAAUGRCUCUUUAGAGUCUGAUGUGCGAUCUUGUAAAAAAGUGUAGCAUGGCCCCAUUCUAACUGUUUACAGUAGGGUGGCGGAAGAGCGUACGCGGUGAGACCCGAAAGAUGGUGAACUAUUCCUGAGCAGGACGAAGCCAGAGGAAACUCUGGUGGAAGUCCGAAGCGGUUCUGACGUGCAAAUCGAUCGUCUGACUUGGGUAUAGGGGCGAAAGACUAAUCGAACCAUCUAGUAGCUG
rnacentral:rRNA from 1 species